UGAGUAACCUGCCCUUAACUCUGGGAUAAGCCUGGGAAACUGGGUCUAAUACCGGAUAUGACUCCUCAUCGCACGGUGGGGGGUGGAAAGCUUUUUGUGGUUUUGGAUGGACUCGCGGCCUAUCAGCUAGUUAGUGAGGUAACGGCUCACCAAGGCAACGACGGGUAGCUGGUCUGAGAGGAUGGCCAGCCACAUUGGGACUGAGACACGGCCCAGACCUCCGUACGGGAGCAG
rnacentral:rRNA from 1 species